rnacentral:rRNA from 1 species
GACGAAGGGGGCUAGCGUUGUUCGGAAUUACUGGGCGUAAAGCGAGUGUAGGUGGUUGUCACAGUCAGGUGUGAAAUCCUGGAGCUCAACUCCAGAACUGCCUUUGAUACUGAAGAUCUUGAGUUCGGGAGAGGUGAGUGGAACUGCGAGUGUAGAGGUGAAAUUCGUAGAUAUUCGCAAGAACACCAGUGGCGAAGGCGGCUCACUGGCCCGAUACUGACGCUGAGGCACGAAAGCGUGGGGAGCAAACAGG